rnacentral:rRNA from 1 species
CCUAACACAUGCAAGUCGAACGGUAACAGGAAGAAGCUUGCUUCUUUGCUGACGAGUGGCGGACGGGUGAGUAAUGUCUGGGAAACUGCCUGAUGGAGGGGGAUAACUACUGGAAACGGUAGCUAAUACCGCAUAACGUCGCAAAACCAAAGAGGGGGACCUUCGGGCCUCUUGCCAUCGGAUGUGCCCAGAUGGGAUUAGCUAGUAGGUGGGGUAACGGCUCACCUAGGCGACGAUCCCUAGCUGGUCUGAGAGGAUGACCAGCCACAUUGGAACUGAGACACGGUCCAGACUCCUACGGGAGGCAGCAGUGGGGAAUAUUGCACAAUGGGCGCAAGCCUGAUGCAGCCAUGCCGCGUGUAUGAAGAAGGCCUUCGGGUUGUAAAGUACUUUCAGCGGGGAGGAAGGGAGUAAAGUUAAUACCUUUGCUCAUUGACGUUACCCGCAGAAGAAGCACCGGCUAACUCCGUGCCAGCAGCC